AUAUAUAUAUAUUCUGAUCUAUGCUACUGAUCUAUGCUCACACAUGGUGAUGGUGUGGAGAGACGGUGGUGUUUCCUCAGAAGAACCAGCAGAGUCACAAAGGGCACCGGUCCAUCUCACCACCUUGACUUGCUGACUGAUGCUCGUCUGCACUGCACAGAGGAAAUCAACUGACCGAGGUAAAUCUCCAGUUUCUGAGUGAGGGAGAGAGGAGUCAUCAUCCAGGUAAAGUGACGUGGAUCAGUGGAUACACUUGUCUCCCCUUUAAAGGAGACACUCUUAGAGAGAGACGAUCCGAGUCAUCAUAAAAUAUGGACAGGAUAUCACUAUUGGACUGUCUAACCUGCCGGAGCAGCACUGAAUGAUCACCACACAUGAGCAUGUUCCUGCAACAUUCAGCAGCUUUGCUUUUGUGUCGAAUGUCAAACAGCUGGAGAGGAAACUACACCAGUGUACUGGGAUGUUUCACCAACACGUGCCAGACGCUGUUCCUUCAUGGUGACAUCACCAGAGACAGCCCCGCCCACCUCAGGACCUCGCCAUUGAUCAUGAUGAUUAUAAUGAUGACAGCGAGCGGAACUAAAACUGUAAAAAUCCACGACCAGAAUGUUUAGAUGCUUUCUAAUUAUUCAUGAAUACUGAGAGCCUCUUUCUGUGUUUUGUCUGUUUUGGGUUUUUUUUUUUACCUCAUUUGUUACUAACAAAGUUCACCAAACUCACACAGUUUACAUUCUGUAUGUUUCCAUCUUUACCAGCCACACUCUUAACUGCAAUUAAGCAAAUAAUCCUUAGAAAUCGUCGUUUUUUUCUUUUGUAAUUGAUGAUAAUUCAGUGAAUAUACUGCGCUGCUUCCUUUUGUUUCGUCACACAUUGCUUUAAGUUUUUCAGUGUCCAGUUAUUUUUUACUGUUGUUUGAAUUCUCUGUAUGUUUGACCCUGUAGACUGUUUAAUGGACUGCUUGUCUUCCUGUUUGUAACCGCUGCCUGUUUUUGACUAAAGAUUUGGAUUUGUGACU